AUUGAACGCUGGCGGCAGGCCUAACACAUGCAAGUCGAGCGGUUGAAGGGAGCUUGCUCCCUGAUUCAGCGGCGGACGGGUGAGUAAUGCCUAGGAAUCUGCCUAUUAGUGGGGGACAACGUUUCGAAAGGAACGCUAAUACCGCAUACGUCCUACGGGAGAAAGCAGGGGACCUUCGGGCCUUGCGCUAAUAGAUGAGCCUAGGUCGGAUUAGCUUGUUGGUGAGGUAAUGGCUCACCAAGGCGACGAUCCGUAACUGGUCUGCGAGGAUGAGCAGUCACACUGGAACUGAGACACGGUCCAGACUCCUACGGGAGGCAGCAGUUGGGAAUAUUGGACAAUGGGCGAAAGCCUGAUCCAGCCAUGCCGCGUGUGUGAAGAAGGUCUUCGGAUUGCAAAGCACUUUAAGUUGGGAGGAAGGGUUGUAGAUUAAUACUCUGCAAUUUUGACGUUACCGACAGAAUAAGCACCGGCUAACUCUGUGCCAGCCGCCGCGGUAA
rnacentral:rRNA from 1 species